rnacentral:rRNA from 1 species
AAAUUGAAGAGUUUGAUCAUGGCUCAGAUUGAACGCUGGCGGCAGGCCUAACACAUGCAAGUCGAACGGUAGCACAGAGAGCUUGCUCUCGGGUGACGAGUGGCGGACGGGUGAGUAAUGUCUGGGAAACUGCCUGAUGGAGGGGGAUAACUACUGGAAACGGUGGCUAAUACCGCAUAACGUCGCAAGACCAAAGAGGGGGACCUUCGGGCCUCUUGCCAUCAGAUGUGCCCAGAUGGGAUUAGCUAGUUGGUGAGGUAACGGCUCACCAAGG